UUCGUAAUUUUGGCCACGGUGGAGGGAGGCACUCGGGAAGAAGUUGCCAGAAGUCAUUGCAUUCAAGCCUUGCCUAGAAGGAAACUUGGAAGGCUGGAGUGCAAUGGUGCGAUCCGAUCUCAGCUCACUGCAACCUCAGCCUCCUGGGUUCAAGUGAUUCUUCUGCCUCAGUCUCCUGAGUAGCUGAGAUUACAGGCACUCGCCACCAUGCCCGGCUAAUUUUUGUAUUUUUAGUAGAUACAGGAUUUCGCGAUGUUGGCCAGGCUGGUCUCAAACUCCUGACUUCAAGUGACCCCCGCACCUCGGCCUCUCAAAAUGCUGGGAUUACAGGCAUGAGCCACUGUGCCUGGCCUCCAUUAACCUAUUCACCUUAGGCAUUUCCCUCGGAGGAAGAUGGGAAGGAAAAAGAAUGGUAAUAGAGUUUGGAUACGUCAAUGUAGACACUGGCUCAAGGUAUGAUAGAGGUG
ensembl:lncRNA novel transcript